GAUGAACGCUGGCGGCGUGCCUAAUACAUGCAAGUCGAGCGAACAGACGAGGAGCUUGCUCCUCUGACGUUAGCGGCGGACGGGUGAGUAACACGUGGAUAACCUACCUAUAAGACUGGGAUAACUUCGGGAAACCGGAGCUAAUACCGGAUAAUAUAUUGAACCGCAUGGUUCAAUAGUGAAAGACGGUUUUGCUGUCACUUAUAGAUGGAUCCGCGCCGCAUUAGCUAGUUGGUAAGGUAACGGCUUACCAAGGCGACGAUGCGUAGCCGACCUGAGAGGGUGAUCGGCCACACUGGAACUGAGACACGGUCCAGACUCCUACGGGAGGCAGCAGUAGGGAAUCUUCCACAAUGGGCGAAAGCCUGACGGAGCAACGCCGCGUGAGUGAUGAAGGUCUUCGGAUCGUAAAACUCUGUUAUUAGGGAAGAACAAAUGUGUAAGUAACUAUGCACGUCUUGACGGUACCUAAUCAGAAAGCCACGGCCAACUACGUG
rnacentral:rRNA from 1 species